CGGAGAUAUGGUGUUUUCAGACAAGGGAAUAAAUUCCCGGAAGCAAGUGGCCAAGGAAUGAAAAUCCUGGAGAACAAAGUGUAAUAAACCCGUAUUCAAUGGUUCCUGUUGAUUUUCUUUCCUCCCUAAACACUGACCUCCCGCAGUCUUCACCAGCAGUAGAGCUGAAUCCCUUGGAAACACUCAUAGCACGAUGACAAGGUUUUGGCAGCUGCAGUCUUGAAGACCAGGAAGUGAGAGUGCAAGGAGGCUUCCAGCCUCACGAUGCCCUUGGAUCCUUGCAAUAGUCCCUUGAAAAUGGUAGACUUUGGAUGCUUUUACACAUUUAUGUAAAAAUGUAUUUUACAUUU